CUUGUGUGUUUGCACGGUACCUGGCACUCCUGUGUGCCUGUUUGUCUCCCUGCCAGACUCCCCCUAAGAGCUGGGACCAUGCCCUGCUGUAUCCUUGGUGCUUGGCACAUUCCUUGGCAUGGAAUAGAAUUCAAAAUAUUUGGAAUAAACAAAGGACGCCGCCAUAGGGAUUCCCAGCUGGUUGACUCAUCCUUCUGUGGAAGCCAAAGAAUGGACCCAGACAUGGAUGAAGGUCGGGUGAAGGUCAUGAACACUGCAACACAGGCGCCAUCCCAUGUGACGUCCUUUCUGAACGACUCCACUGAAGACGAGCUUUGCUCUGACUCGCGAGGCCUGCGAAGCCAGGCAGAAGUCAGGGUGUUGGGAAACGGCCAAAGAGAGGAGAUAAGAGGUUGUGGCUGUGGUGCAGUCAGCCCCAAAUGCAUCACCAGUGAAAAAAUGUCAGGUCACUGGGUGGGGAGUGAAGUGUGAAACCAAGCGAAAUGAAAAUAG
ensembl:lncRNA